GUUGGGGCAUUAGUGUAGUCAAAAUUAGGGUUUUUGGUAAGUCUACAUAUGCACCUUUGGACCUACACGCUCACACUCACGAAGCUCCGCGGACAGCAUCACUUCCAAAACCCUAUUUUCACAUAUUUAGCGUCCCAAAACUUCAAUCAUUGAUGGGCGGCAGCCCCAAGACUCUUAGGAAGCCCUAAAACCCUCUAAAUGACCCUAAAAACCUUAGUUUAAGCACAUACAUAUCAUUUUAUGCCUCCAACUCCAAAUCGAGAUAGAGAGAGUGCCUCCAUAUUUUAUUAUACCAUAUUUUUAAGUUUUGAUUAACAAAGAACUAUUGACGCAUAAGCCUUUUCUAGAGUCUCUUUAAACUUGUGAUCCAUUAGUAAGCUUACCCGUGCUGAGUGUGAGGAGCUGAUCUUGUUGGCCGGGAAUCUCAAGCUAGAGGUGGCCAAUUAUUCAUAGAGGAUCUAUGGCUCUGACGGCUACUUUUGGAGGGCCAGUGGCAGUGGCGGAGGCGGAGGCGGAGGCGGAGGCCAUGAUAAUGAUCAUGAAGAUAGAGGUGAGAGCACUAAGGCUACACCUUCUAGGAGAGAAUGAGUACCUGCACAACAACAACAAACAGAUCUUGCUUUUUCUUCCUUUUAAUUAUUUGGCUUUUACUUUAUGCACUUUUCUUUAUUUGAGACAUAGGUUUGUACUUAAUAAUAUCUUUUAUACUUAUGCUUUUAUUUUGGAAUAUGUACUUAUUUAUAGUAAUUAAACAGGGAUUUCUAUAUGAAAUGUGUGCUUGUAUA